GACAGCAGUAGCCGCGGGAAUACAGAGGGUGCGAGCGUUAAUCGGAUUUACUGGGCGUAAAGCGUGCGUAGGCGGCUUUUUAAGUCGGAUGUGAAAUCCCUGAGCUUAACUUAGGAAUUGCAUUCGAUACUGGGAAGCUAGAGUAUGGGAGAGGAUGGUAGAAUUCCAGGUGUAGCGGUGAAAUGCGUAGAGAUCUGGAGGAAUACCGAUGGCGAAGGCAGCCAUCUGGCCUAAUACUGACGCUGAGGUACGAAAGCAUGGGGAGCAAACAGGAUUAGAGACCCCUGUAGUCCCUGUCUCUUAUAC
rnacentral:rRNA from 1 species